ACACAUCCUGCCCUGUUUAACCAUUGAUCCUUUCGCUGCAUUCCUCCUCUUUUAGGGUCUACUCUAGGCCACAUGAACCACAAGGAUGAGCAGACCAACAAGCACCUAUGAAAAGAGCAAGAGAAAGGCUUUAUUUGGAGCCAGAUGUGAAGAUGCACCCUUGUAAUCCCAGUACUUGAGAGGGGAGAUGAGAAGAAUGAGAGGGUUCAAGGACAGCCUGGACUACAAAGCAAGACUAUGACUCAUGAAGAAGAAAAAAAAAAAAAAAA